rnacentral:rRNA from 1 species
UACGGGAGGCAGCAGUAGGGAAUAUUGGGCAAUGGUCGCAAGACUGACCCAGCCAUGCCGCGUGCAGGAAGACGGCCCUCUGGGUUGUAAACUGCUUUUAUCUGGGAAGAAAAAGUCCAUGCGUGGAAAAUUGCCGGUACCAGAUGAAUAAGCACCGGCUAACUCCGUGCCAGCAGCCGCGGUAAUACGGAGGGUGCAAGCGUUGUCCGGAUUUAUUGGGUUUAAAGGGUGCGUAGGCGGCUGAAUAAGUCAGCGGUGAAAGACUUCGGCUUAACCGGAGCAGUGCCGUUGAUACUGUUUAGCUUGAGUGUUGGAGGGGUACAUGGAAUUGAUGGUGUAGCGGUGAAAUGCAUAGAUACCAUCAGGAACACCGAUAGCGAAGGCAUUGUACUGGCCAACAACUGACGCUGAGGCACGAAAGUGUGGGGAUCGAACAGGAUUAGAUACCCUGGUAGUCCACACCGUAAACGAUGAUUACUCGCUGUUAUGGUGUAUGCUGUAGCGGCCAAGCGAAAGCG